rnacentral:rRNA from 1 species
AUGAACGCUAGCUACAGGCUUAACACAUGCAAGUCGAGGGGCAGCAUGUUGGUUGCUUGCAACCAAUGAUGGCGACCGGCGCACGGGUGAGUAACGCGUAUCCAACCUACCCUUGUCCAUCGGAUAACCCGUCGAAAGGCGGCCUAACACGAUAUGCGGUUCACCGCAGGCAUCUAACGUGAACGAAAUGUGAAGGAGAAGGAUGGGGAUGCGUCUGAUUAGCUUGUUGGCGGGGUAACGGCCCACCAAGGCUACGAUCAGUAGGGGUUCUGAGAGGAAGGUCCCCCACAUUGGAACUGAGACACGGUCCAAACUCCUACGGGAGGCAGCAGUGAGGAAUAUUGGUCAAUGGACGAGAGUCUGAACCAGCCAAGUAGCGUGCAGGAUGACGGCCCUAUGGGUUGUAAACUGCUUUUAUAGGGGGAUAAAGUGUGUCACGUGUGGCAUAUUGCAGGUACCCUAUGAAUAAGGACCGGCUAAUUCCGUGCCAGCAGCCGCGGUAAUACGGAAGGUCCGGGCGUUAUCCGGAUUUAUUGGGUUUAAAGGGAGCGUAGGCCGUUUGGUAAGCGUGUUGUGAAAUGUCGGGGCUCAACCUGGGCAUUGCAGCGCGAACUGCCAGACUUGAGUGCGCAGGAAGUAGGCGGAAUUCGUCGUGUAGCGGUGAAAUGCUUAGAUAUGACGAAGAACUCCGAUUGCGAAGGCAGCCUGCUGUAGCGCAACUGACGCUGAAGCUCGAAAGCGUGGGUAUCGAACAGGAUUAGAUACCCUGGUAGUCCACGCGGUAAACGAUGGAUGCUCGCUGUUUGCGUCUGACGUAAGCGGCCAAGCGAAAGCGUUAAGCAUCCCACCUGGGGAGUACGCCGGCAACGGUGAAACUCAAAGGAAUUGACGGAAGGGC